AUACGGAGGAUCCGAGCGUUAUCCGGAUUUAUUGGGUUUAAAGGGUGCGCAGGCGGCCAUUUAAGUCAGCGGUUAAAUCGUGGGGCUCAACCCCAUUCUGCCGUUGAUACUGGGUGGCUUGAUUGCGGUCGAGGUUGGCGGAAUUCGUUGUGUAGCGGUGAAAUGCAUAGAUAUGACGAAGAACACCGAUUGCGUAGGCAGCUGACCAUAUCGCAAAUGACGCUCAUGCACGAAAGUGCGGGGAUCGAACAGGAUUAGAUGCCCUGGUAGGCCGCACAGUAAACGAUGGACACCCGCGGUUUGGCCUGUAUGGCUGAGCCGCCAAGCGAAAGCGUUAAGUGUCCCACCUGGGGAGUACGCCGGCAACGGUGAAACUCAAAGGAAUUGACGGGG
rnacentral:rRNA from 1 species